rnacentral:rRNA from 1 species
CACGUAGGGUGCGAGCGUUGUCCGGAAUUAUUGGGCGUAAAGAGCUCGUAGGCGGUGUGUCGCGUCGGCCGUGAAAACCUGCAGCUUAACUGUGGGCUUGCGGUCGAUACGGGCAUCACUGGAGUUCGGCAGGGGAGACUGGAAUUCCUGGUGUAGCGGUGAAAUGCGCAGAUAUCAGGAGGAACACCGGUGGCGAAGGCGGUUCUCUGGGCAUUACCUGACGCUGAGGAGCGAAAGCAUGGGGGAGCAAACAGG